rnacentral:rRNA from 1 species
GAAGUAAAAGUCGUAACAAGGUUUCCGUAGGUGAACCUGCGGAAGGAUCAUUAUCGAAUUCAAUCUGAUGGGGAAAAGAGGUGGGGGGGGGGCAUAGAGGAUUGUCGCUGGCUGGACUCACUGGUUAGUCCCUGGCAUGUGCACGUCCGCCUCGCCUUUUUCCCUCUCUAACUACACACACCUGUGCACCUUUUGUAGAUCGAUUGCUCCCUUUCGAUCUAUGUUUCUCAUCACAUCACACCAUGUUGUAUUGUAUGGCCAGAAUGGAAAGCAUAAUAUAAUAUAUCAUAUACAACUUUCAGCAACGGAUCUCUUGGCUCUCGCAUCGAUGAAGAACGCAGCGAAUUGCGAUAAGUAAUGUGAAUUGCAGAUUUCCAGUGAAUCAUCGAAUCUUUGAACGCAUCUUGCGCUCCUUGGUAUUCCGAGGAGCAUGCCUGUUUGAGUGUCAUCGAAAUCUCAACCAUUCUCUCUUCGAGUAUGGCUUGGAGUUGGGGGUUGCUGGCAGGGGGAAUCGUCAGCUCUCCUUAAAUGCAUUAGCAGAUCGAGUUGAGCUAGUCUUCGACGUGCACGGCCUUUGGCGUGAUAAUGAUCGUCAUGGCUGGAGCGUCAUUCCUUGACUUAUGCCACACAUACUUUAAGAUCGCUUCUAACAGAAAGGACAUGGGUGGUCGGUCUAUUCCAACGAGCUUAGCUACUAGGCAGUCCUUGCAAAGGGCCUGGCGAAAGCAAGAUCGAUCUGAGACUUGAUUCCUUUGUUCUUCCAUAUGUAUUUUUGACCUCAAAUCAGGUAGGACUACCCGCUGAACUUAAGCAUAUCAAUAAGCGGAGGAA